rnacentral:rRNA from 1 species
UCCUACGGGAGGCAGCAGUGGGGAAUAUUGCACAAAUGGGCGAAAGCCUGAUGCAGCGACGCCGCGUGAGGGAUGACGGCCUUCGGGUUGUAAACCUCUUUCAGCAGGGAAGAAGCGAAAGUGACGGUACCUGCAGAAGAAGCGCCGGCUAACUACGUGCCAGCAGCCGCGGUAAUACGUAGGGCGCAAGCGUUGUCCGGAAUUAUUAGGCGUAAAGAGCUCGUAGGCGGCUUGUCACGUCGGGUGUGAAAGCCCGGGGCUUAACCCCGGGUCUGCAUCCGAUACGGGCAGGCUAGAGUGUGGUAGGGGAGAUCGGAAUUCCUGGUGUAGCGGUGAAAUGCGCAGAUAUCAGGAGGAACACCGGUGGCGAAGGCGGAUCUCUGGGCCAUUACUGACGCUGAGGAGCGAAAGCGUGGGGAGCGAACAGGAUUAGAUACCCUGGUAGUCCACGCCGUAAACGUUGGGAACUAGGUGUUGGCGACAUUCCACGUCGUCGGUGCCGCAGCUAACGCAUUAAGUUCCCCGCCUGGGGAGUACGGCCGCAAGGCUAAAACUCAA